rnacentral:lncRNA from 1 species
GGGGACUGACCUAUGUCCCUACUGCCCCGACUCACCGGAAGACUUGGAACACCUCUUCUUCACCUACCCCCGCAUCUCUGCCUUCUGGGCUGCGGUCAACCCUGGAGCGCCUCGUCAAGGACUGCUCGAGCUGAGUGACACCGUCCCCCUACCCUCCGAGAAGCUCUGCCACACAGCCUCUCUAUUGCUAUGGGUCAUCUGAAAAAGCCGCAACCAGAUGGUGUUCUGCGCCGCCAUGGUGGCCGAGGUGGCUAGCCUUGUGUGGCUAUGGGCCAUCAGGGCUCCCUGGUGUCUGGACCUCACCCCCUAGAUGAUUGGUGCUCCACCAUUUUUAUGUAAUUUCUGCUUUUGAGUGAUUUGCUCCCCACUCUUGUGUACUCCGCGCCGACGUUAUAAACACCAUCGGGUGGGCGAUCUCCGCCCACCGUUGCCGCCUAAAAAAACCAGGUAACACACGUAUGUGGUAAAAUGACGGAUUGACUAAUACGAGAGACGGUGCUCUUGCUGGCACGCAGCACAUGUGUCGUGCGUGCGGCGUUUGGUUCCCUUUGCUUAUUUUUAGCACGUGUCACAUCGAAUGUUUAGAUACUAAUUAAGAGUAUUAAACGUAGACUAUUUACAAAACUCAUUACAUAAGUGGAGGCUAAACGGCGAGACGAAUCUAUUAAGCCUAAUUAAUCCAUCAUUAGCAAAUGUUUACUGUAGCAACACAUUGUCAAAUUAUGGAGUAAUUAGGCCAAAUAGAUUCGUCUCGCCGUUUAGCCUCCACUUAUGUAAUGGGUUUUGUAAAUAAUCUACGUUUAAUACUCCUAAUUAGUAUCUAAAUAUUCGAUGUGACGGGUGCUAAAAAUAAGUUAGGGGAACCAAACCAGGUGGAAUUAGCUUCACGCUCAUGCUCAAUGCUCUUAUUAGAGUCAGUUUCGACACCUGAUGAAUGCUACCGUAUGAAUUUUGCCACCGAUCAUUUCCGUCCAGUUCCUCUCGGAUUCUUUUUUGAGUUUGCAAGUUUUGUGCUCAAAGCUCUACUAGCUUGGUACCACGAGAGCUCCCGGGUCAUUCAGUAAGCAGCCUCGGACAGUACUACUCUUCGGUGCAACGGAAAGAAAAAACCAAAUGCACGAAGUACAAACACGCGCAACGCGCUCGCUUCGUGCACAAGCUUAAUUGACCCUGUUAAAUUGUUAGCUAAGCUCUCAAGGGAUCGAUUGAGCUACUAGCAUGAUUUCCUCGUUUAGUAGAGUAGCAGUUCUGAUGGAAUGGAAGACUCGUGUGGAAGAGAACAAAUCAAGUUGCUUCGUACUGGCAAAAGGGCCUGUUCGCUUCAGCUUAUUCAGCCGGCUUAUCAGCCACCAAACAGUGUUUUCCUCUCACAACAAAUCAGCCGUUUCAGCUUUUCAGCCGGCUUAUAAGCUGAAGCGAACAGACCCAAAAGGCCAAUUAAUCACGAGGUUGUGCAAGGGAAAGGAAGCCUGUCAUCGGAAUCGUUAUGCCUACGCGAACCGAGAGUUCAGAUAAACGCACCAGGUUCGGGUCCUAAUUAGCCCCGCUAAUAAGUUGAAACCCGGCCCAAACUGCUUUAAAUUAACUCAUUCCCCCAUCCCGCCCCGUCCUAUAAUUUUAUUAUCUAAACCCAACCCUACUCGCUCCACCAAUUGAUAUAACCUAUGGAUUUGAUAUGUGAAAUUAUGAACAUAUGGGCCCCGCAUAAAGAGUCAGACCCUAAAACGAAAACCUCACAUUAACACCUUAAAAUUUUAGAGAAAUUAAUCGAAAUUUGUUGGAGAUGACUCAGUUUGACGGUCCGCUAUUUUAUGCAAAUUGUCGCGGCUGGACUUUAGAUGGGCCUCGCGUCCAAAGCUAGACCGUAAAACUAAACCUCGCGUUCACACUUAAAAUUUAAAAUUUAAUCGUCGAAAUUUGUUGGAGAUGACUCAGUUUGAUAGUCCUUUCCUUUGUGCAAAUAGUAUGAACUAAAUCUACAUAUGGGUCCCAUGUCAAGAGCUGAACAGUUAAACCCAUACAGACUGAAAGAAAAAAGAACCACUUCCAACCCGCACUCGUGAUAUACCCAACUCAUUAGAUGCUAAAACCCAUUUUAACCGAUUCAAACACACCCCACGUCACAACCCAUCCCAAAAACCAUUUCAACCCGCUCCAUUAGCAGGUAACCUGGAGUAUAUCCUCUUCUCAAACAUAGAAAGGGAGAAAAUAGAAACUGCUGGCUCGUAACUCGUAUAGUCCGAGAACUAGGCCCCAGGAGCUGUGCGUAGCCGUACACAAGCCGCCAGUACGGAAUGAAUAUACGGAGUGGAGAUGCUAGUCCAGGCCUCCAGGGUGAUGCGGCGGCAGAAGCGGCGACUGGCGUGGCAAGGCGGCAAAGCUCACCGUGCGACAGGUAGCGCAUUUGGCCAAAAGUCCAAACGUUUCACGGCGCCUGGAAAAGUGCCCUUCAGAUGGCCCCCGACGCGUCAGGCAUGCACGGCACUCGGGCAGCACGGCAAAGUCGGCACUUGGCACACGGGCGCGCUCGGGCCGAGAAGGCGGACGCGCGCGGGCGCCGCCCCCGCUUCCAAGCAGGCGGGAAGGAAGCCACCAGGAGUCCAGGACGGCCGCGAUGCGGGCACUGCCGGCGCGCUCUGACCUCAUGGCUCGUGCAACCGAUGCCAGCAUGUAUGGAACCGCGCCGGGGGUCUGGCUCGCCCUCGCACCGCCGCGCCGGCGCCGCUACACUACACGCGUGAAUAAAGUAAGAAGGUACUGUCGCGGUGCUGCGAGGCGGCGACACCUACGCGGGGUUAGUUGCCGCCCUAUCCGUCGGGCCGUCCCUGGUUCCCUGAAUCCCUGCCCACGCCGAGUAGGUCUUGGCGAUCGGGUGAUAGAUUGGUUUGGUUUGUGUUGCAGCAAAUCAGGAGGCACAUGCCCAGACUCGAAUCGUUGUCCCGUGGCAAAUUUUGGAGCGUGUGGCGUCUCCCACGUGUCGACAAGUAUAAUACACCAGUGACGCAAUAAUGGAUUAUUGUUAUGGAGUUGGAACGAGUUUUCACAAUUUCCAUGUGCUUGCUCUCUUCUCUUGCGUUCGAUACGGCGGCUCGUGAGUCGUGAUUAUAGAAGAGAAGGGACCGCGCGCGUGUUGCCAUGCGAAGUAAUGAAAUGGCCGGUCCGGUCGAUGGUGAUGACAACCGUACUAUGCGGGGCUACCACCAGGCCCCGGUGCUACGGGCGAAAAGUGCAAAACAAACAGUUCAAUAUGAGAGUUUCUGUGCGGAUGAAAUUUCCCCGUUGCACACGCUAUUUGUCUUCACACCGAACGGUAUUCGCAACACAGCUGGAUCACAGCCUUCCCCAGUUUCCCCUUGAGCUUACAAGACGCCUACGUGUGCAUGAGCUUUAUUCGAUCCAGCCGACUCCGCGGCCUCUCUAUCUACAGCUGACCGGAUUAACGGCUGCUUGUCUCGUCACAAGCAAGCGCGAUCUAAACCAAUUUUAACCGGGCUAAACCAAUGCAAAGUGCUCAUGUUUAGUUGGGUGACUAAAAAUAUCCCAGUUUGCUAUGCUCAUGUUUGAUUAGCUGCACAAGGUGAUAAGAUGGCCCUAUAUUCGCUAGAGGUGAAAUUACCACCGUCCCAUCCUCUCCGGUCCUCUCCUUCCUCCCCCUCAUCUACUACUCCUCCUAAUCCCCAACCCUGAUGGUGCGCUGCCGCAUCACCGCCCUCCUCGUGGUGUCGCUCCUGCUCCCGCUCGCCCGCCCGGACUCCUCCUCCCUUCCGCCGCCACCACCAACACCUCGUACGACGAGCUCCGCCUCCGGGGCUACCCUCGGAGCCUGCUCCUGGUAGAGUGUAGCUAUCAAGCCUCCCAAAAUUGGGUGAUGGACCGAUUCAUGUCCGCAUUGAGCUUCGCCACAGUCGGAUAAACCUCAAGCAUGGUCGAAUCGAGCUCCAGCGCCGCCCGCGGGCCCACAUCACCGCUCGCCUGCUCCCUCCGGUUGGGGUCGUCAGCCCGCCAGACCGCUGGCUAGGCGUCCACCGCCAUGAGCCGCGCCUCACCGUCGCACCCCCGCCACCGCCGCAAGCCAGCCGGGCGGCACAUGCCCCACCCGCUUCGCCCACGGUACCUCUGUCCCGGUUAGCAACGCGUUGAGCUUUGAUGCGCCAAGGACUUCCGGAGGCCGCCGCCGUCGCGGCUGAUGGCAGGGCGUAGGUGCCCGCGCAGGUCCGUUGGGAAUGUGAGGUACGCGGUGUAUUCCAGCAGGGAAGACAAGAGGGUGAGGCGACUCUGCCAACUUGAACCACCGAGGCUUGUACGAGCCUACGUUAGUGGAAACGCACGCUCGCUAUGUUCCCAGGAAUCCAGGCAACGCCCCCUCUUUUGCACUACUGAAGCUAGGCUUAGGAGCAUCCAAUCACAUGCAUGCUACAUUACCGAAGCCUAUUCGAGGAACCAAUCACUACUCGUAGGGGGUGUUUGGUUCCACGGACUAUAAUCUCUGUCACAUCGAAUGUUUAGAUACUAAUUAGGAGUAUUAAAUAUAGACUAAUUACAAAACCAAUUGCACGGAUGGAGGCUAAUUCACGAGACGAAUCUAUUAAACCUAAUUAAUUCAUGAUUAGCACAUAUUUACUGUAGCAUCACAUUAUCAAAUCAUGGACUAAUUAAGCUUAAUAGAUUUGUCUCGCGAUUUAGUCUCCAUCUGUACAAUUGAUUUUAUAAUUAGUUAAUUUAAUCCUUCUAAUUAGUAUCUUGAUGUGACAGGAAGCGAACAUUAGUCCGUUCAACCAAACACCCUUUUCGAUCCAGCCGAUUCCGCGGCCCGACCCGAUUAACGGCUGCUUGUCUCACAAGCAAGUGCGAUCUCGGCAAAUCCGGCGGACCCUGGCCCUCUUCGAGAAUUUUCGCUAAAUCAUGUGUAAACCCGGGAAAAAAGUUGCAACAACUCGCGCACACGCACACGGAACGCAACCGACACCAUCCCCAAGAAAAGAAACGAACACCGCGUGCAUCACGAGUGACGUGUAGCGGGGCCGAGGCGGAGGCGCCUCCCGUCCCAAGCUUAACAGAGCAGGCGCCGCGCGAGUCAGAGGCUCAGAGCCCCCUUCCCUUCCAGAAGGUCGCCUCCCGCUACCGGUUUCCUCCUAUUUAUACGCCGCUCCCACCUCCCCAACCAACUAGCAGUUGCUUCCCUCCCUUUCUCCGAACCCCCAAUCGCAAAGAAAUCGAGCAGCGGACAAACGAACAUGCGGGCCAUGGCAGAGGACAGGCCGGGUGGCCGCCGCCAGGAGCGAGCCACCGCGGACCUUCCGAUUCCAAGAGACGACGGUGGCUCUGUGGCGUCCGACGACGAGGACUCCGACGGCGAGUUCGAGUUCCCCUUCGUGAGCCGGGAGCCGGCGGCGGCGGGCGGGGGCGCCGCGGCGGCGGACGAGCUCUUUGCGGGCGGCCGCAUCCGGGCGUUCUACCCGGUGUUCGGCCGGGUGCUGGACGACGCCGCCGCGGCGCCGGCGCCGAGCUCGAGGGCGCCGCUGGGGCGGCUGUUCCAGCUGGAGCAGGCGCGAACCUCCUCCGUCGCGUCCACGUCCUCCUCGUCGUCUUCGUCGUCGGCGUCGACGGCGGACGCUGAAGCGAGGCUCGACGGCGCGCCGCCCGACAGCUACUGCCUCUGGACGCCCGGGUCGUCGCCGGCGUCCUCGCCCUCGCGGCCGCCGCGGAAGAGCGGGUCGACGGGCUCCAUCGCGCGGUGGCGCCGCAUCGGGGAGCUCGUCGUCGGCCGCAGCCACAGUGACGGGAAGCAGAAAUUCCUCUUCCUCUCCGCGCCGCCGUCACCGGCCAGGGACAGGGACCACCACCAGUCCCCCGCCGGCUCCAAGUCGAAGCCGCCAGCGAAAGGAAGUAAAGCCGCAACCGCCGCCGCCGCCACCGAGCUCGACACGGUCGCCGCGGGGCGGCGGAUGUCGUACGGCGGCGGCAAGGCGUCCCCCGGGGGGCGGCGGACGUUCCUGCCGUACCGGCAGGACCUCGUGGGGCUGUUCGCCAACGCCCGUUCUGAGCCCCGACGCGCCGAACCGUCGCCGCCGUGGAGGACCCGUUCCAAACAGUGAGAUUCAAGUUUGAAUCCGGGAUUUGAAAUUUCAGACGAUUUGACCUGGUGAUCCCCUGCAACCCUUCUUUGUGAAGACCAGUUUUAGCAAUUUAGCAUACGUGUGGGGUUAAAGCGGCCAAGCAGGUCAAAAAGAACAAGUGUGAAAGUCAGACAAAGCAGGGGAAAUGUGAGCCUUCCUUUUCGGAUUCGUCGCGGCAAUGAGGUCCGAAGUCGGUGGCAGCCACUUGAAAUUUGUGAUGAAGGUGGUAGGCGAGUACAGUACUAUGGAGAAGUUGAAAAAAAGUUCGUAACUUUAUAUAUGUGACUUUGUACAUACGGUGUAUAUAGGGAGUCCUCCCCCUAAAGUUUAGCUCCUGUUAUAUCGAAUGUUUAGAUACUAAUUAGAAGUAUUAAAUAUAGACUAUUUACAAAACCCACUAUACAGAUGGAGGCUAAACGGCGAGACGAAUCUAUUAAGCCUAAUUAAUAAUUAGUUUUCGAAUAUUCGAUGUGACACGGACUAAAUUUUAGCUCGAGGAACUAAACUAAACGCCCGUGUAUAUUAGCGAAGAAUUCACCUUCCCUUGUUAGCAAUCCCUUCCAACCAGUUUUGAUUUUCAGCAAAGCAGGUCGCCAGCCCAGGCAGCAGCGCCAGCCGCGGACGCCUGAGAUCGCUGCCUUCGAGGCAAGUUUGGCAGGACUCAAAGCAAACAGGCCCAAGUUUUUUUUAAAAAAAAGCAAACAGGCCCAUGCAUCAUCCAACGGCUAUUUAAAAAAAAAAACCCCGAGAGAUCAGAAAAACUAACUGCGAUUUGACCGAUUUUCAGGCCUCAAUAUUAUGUUUGGUUCGUAUCAUAUCGGAUAUUUAGAUAAACUAAUUGCAUAAAUGAAGACUAAUUUGCGAGACGAAUCUAUUAAGCCUAAUUACGCCAUGAUUUAAUAAUGUAAUGCUACAGUAACAUGUGCUAAUGAUGGAUUAAUUAGAUUUAAUAGAUUCGUCUCACGAAUUAACCUCCAUAUGUGUAAUUAGUUUUAUAAUUAGCUCAUAUUUAGUCCUCCUAAUUAGUCUUCAAAUAUUCGAUGUGAUAUAAAUUUUAGUCCGGACUAAAGAUCAAACAUCCCCUUAUUUUUGCCCACUACAGAGCUGCUAACGCAGUAUGGUUUCAAUUACCAAAACUUUCCCCUUUUUUUUCACCUGAACAGAGAUCGUUUACCGAAUUCUUUUCAUCACCUAGCGUUUGAGUUGACCGCCUGCCCGCGCGCAGACCGUAAGUUGCCGGGAGCAGAGGGAAGACCGUAUGGAAGAGGGUCAAUGCGUUGCCGGUGCAGAGCCACUUGCUAACAGAGUACUCCUCCUCAUUACGUACUCCAGCUCUUAAUCACGCAAUUAGCCAAUAGCCACUCCACGAGCUUGUUGCGCGCAAGCUGGCAUGCAGACGUGCGCACGUACGCUUUGGACCGGUCAGCUUGGCGCUGACACUCCCAUCCGAUCCAACUACACAAGCAGAGCCUGUCCCUGGGUUGCAUUGCGUUCGGUAGUUUCAGUCAGAAUUCAGAUACAGGUUAGGUUUGUGGUAAGGUUUCGUUGUGGCUGGUGCCGGUAGAAACUCCAAAAUGACGGAAAGGGAGCAAGCUAGCUGCACCGGAAUUUUUACCAGGACCUGGCGUUAGUCAACCGAGUGAACGGGCGGAUUGCUAGAGAUCGGGGAUGACACGAUCGAGCUUUUAAUUCAGUGCCUUUUUCUCGCGCGCGUCAGAUCAAUCUCGCGGAUUGGUUCAACGGCGGGGACCUGUGGCUCCACGCGUUCGCACAGACAGUGCCUGCCUCGGACAGGAACACUGGUCGUCUCCCGCAUUUUACACCAGGACACCGGGGAGGCAGCAAACGCGUCAAAGCUAAUCCGGUAAUCCCUCGUCGUGCCAGUUCCCUUCUUGUGCAGUAAUAACUGGAGCAGCGAGUAUACGUACGAACUCGGUGCCACGCGAUGUGAGAGAUGUUCAGCUUUCAGACUCACCUAACUGCAACACUGUGUUUGGUGUGAUUAGUUGCAGGCUAUGUAAAAAAGGGGACAACUCGACGGUAAAAUACACAAGUCAACAACUAAAUUUUGCGAGUUAGUUCUUGCGUCUUGACCGACACAGGUCAGCCGGUGUUGUUUUUAACCUCCCAACCGGGAGGGUGUCGAAACAGCUAAUGUGGGCGAACAACACUCGUCGGAGCACGUAAAACAAAAUGCCCGGACUGAGCAUCCGACUCACCACAUCUUGACCUUUUUAAUCUCGACGGAGCUAUCCCAUGUCUUGUUGGGGAAUGAGCAUGUGCGCUUUCACCUACCUCCUACUGCAUUUUUGUGUUCCUUGAGGAUGGAGCAGUCCACGACAUAUUUGAACUUCCUUCUUGUCCUGACCUGCAUAACCUAACACAGCAGACGUAUGCACCAGGUUACUCUGGGCUGAUUGGUUCGCAGCACGCCCCCUCGUCCAGACUCCACGCGUGCGAUCUUAGCUUGAUUGGUUAGGUAUUGGGCUUGAUCCGCAGCAUGCAAAAAGUUCCCCGAGCCUGACUUCCAGGGUGCAGCUAGAACCUUCGUCUCCUUGGAGCCUGGCUGGCUGGAUGCGGCGUCGAACACGCGGGUAAGCGCAUGUAAGAGAAAAAUAGGUACAUACAUGUAACCAAUCAAAAUCUCCCUAUAACCUGACUGACACGAACCAAGCAACCAAUCAUACACCUCUUGUGCGCAAUAAGCCUGUCCUAGCCGGCCUGGCUCCCUCGUACGAGGUGGGCUACGCUGAGAAGAGAAUCAAUCAAACCCUCUGAAAUCUGAGCACUGGUCGGGGAAGGAGCGGUGUUGGAGAGCUGCCGGACGAGAAGUGACAGCAGUGGAUUCUUAAUUCCUUGGUCUUACGUCGCUGUUUCGGUUGUUUAUGGAUUUGACGUUAGUCACAAGUACAUUUUAAACUGGAAGCACUCACUAGAGCAAACCCUAUUUAUCAAGUCGUCAGCCGAAGUUACAGUUGCCAAUCUAGUUUGGGCCGGUUUGGGGUUGAACUCAACUACAUUGGGCUUUUCUAGGCCUUCAGUGGGUUGGGCUAUACUCCAGGGGAAAAAAAACAAAAAUGAGUGGGAAUACUAAAGCCCUUAUGCACAUCAGCAUGGUGUCCUUUUCGCAGUUGUGUACUUGACAAAAAUCAUUUUUUAAACGAUGUACUUGACAAAAUCUUGCAGUUUCUAUAAUGUUUAUGCCUCUUCUUGCUUCUGCCCAGCAGUUCCUUCAUUGUAAGUUUUUCGAGAUGAAUUGUUUAGAAGUUCACCUCAAAACCAAGAGCUCUUUUAUACUCUCUCUAUUUCAUAGAUCGUUUUGGUUUUCCUAAUUUCAUACGUUUUGCUAUGUAUCUAGACAUAACCUAUAGGUAGAUGCAUAGAAAAAAAUCUGUAUCUAGAAAAGCUAAAAUGACCUACAAUUUGGGAUAGAGGGAGUAGUUGUUUAUAGGUACCAACAUUUACUUUGAGGUACUUUUUUCUCCUUUUUUCACUCUUGAUUUGGAAAAGACAAUUAAAAAAAUUAAAUUUAUGGCUCCCCACACAUUGUGUGUGGUGGUCGGCGACACCGAGAAGACAUUCAUCCUUCUUGAUCCUGUCAUCCAAGGCUCAUGGAGGAUCUCGACAUGGUAUCAAAAUCCAACCCCACCCACCACCACCACCACCAUCAUCAUCACCAAUCGCUGACCUCACCUUUUCUCCUAGUCCCCUCUGAUUGGGCGCGGUGUUGACCUCCACCUCCACAGGUUGAGGCCCCUCUUCAUACUAAUCUGAGAUUAGGCUCAAGUGACACGCUUGUUCCAAAUUUGGCGAUCAAUUUUUGUUAUUUUAUAGUAGCCUACGUGGUGUAGUAGAUGCCUGACUUGGACCUGUCAGAUGUUAUUGCUCCUAAUCUAAGGGUGGAAUUAGCUUUUACUAACGAUAUGUCAUAUCCUUUUGCAGUGCAGUUUGAUGCUAUCCUCAGUCAUCUCAAAUCAUUAAGCAGUGGUUAUUUUUUUACCAACAAAUGUUGGUAACAUGAAUUUUAACUGUUUCAAAAUCACAAUUCAUAUAGAAUUCAUAAUCUUUGAUUUGUUUUGAGAGCUCAGUCUACCAUGCUUAGAAUGAGCUAUUUUGUCAUCACACUCUGUUGUACGGCCUAGUUGAAUGAGCUAGACGCGGCAAGUUAGCAACUUUGAAGCUUCUGGAAUGUGAGAUCCUAUAUGCUAAUCCACAUUAUUUAUCUUUUGCAAGCAAACAAGUACAGGGGACCAUACCUUUCUAAUAUGUGCUAUGUUGUAAUUAUAAUGUUAGUUUCAUCAUGAUUUGUGAAUUGUUGAUUGAGAUGGCACAUUUUCACUUAUUUAUCAUGCAUAAUGUAUUGCAUUUUUUUUACUAUUUUUGUAUAUAGGGUAACGUGAUCGGAGUACGUAAUUGGUCAAAUAACACUUUUUGGUUGAGAACUAUGAAAAUUGGUUAAAUUUGAAAAUGUUGAGGAAAUAGCAAGAGUUAGUUAGCCAUUUACUGUCAGGCCAAUAUUGGGACAGUAUAGGCACUUGUUUCAGUUAAGUCACUCUAGUUUAACAUCUCAAUUCAGAGUUAUUUUAUUUUCCAUACUAUGUUAAUUUCUUUUUUCUACCUCUUUGUAUCUUCUAAUGACUUAGGUAUGUGUACUUAUAAUUUUGAGGAAAGUAGAGAAUUGUUAAACCAAAGCGUAAAAUAUAAACUCCAAAAGUUUGCAUUAUAUGCAAUUAGACCAUAUUACUGAAAUAAUAAUCCUUGCUCCGUUACUGCAUUUUACUGGUGAAUUUUGUCAUGGUAUCCGUUGCGCCUGGUUGUUUGGUUGGGUGUUGACGGUCGUUAAGUACCAAAUAUGACCGUCAAUAUACUCAAGAAUAAAGGAGGGUUGACAUUUCUUACAUGCAUAUUUGGUUUUGAAUAAUGUAGUUCCACUUGUCCUUAGAGAUUAUUUGAUUGUAGGUGAAAUAAUAUAAAAGGAUGGAGAAAGCACUGGAUCCAAGAAGCGCGCUUCCAACCAAUAGGAGGUUGCCACAUGUGCCUCCCAUGGAUUGAAGGGCCCACAAACUACCACAACUGUCUCAAUCCACCGGAUAACGCACGCAACCGUCAUUGGGAUCCACCAGGCAGUCACCUGGAGAAAGGCGGUUGCAAGAAGGACCCACAUGGGGUCGGCCAAACCAGGGGUUCAGCCGAACCGCCAUUGGCUCCUCUUGCCUCCAGCCUUCACGUGGCAACGAUUGACAGGCCCCCUAUGUCGAUUAUGGGAUAUUCCUCGAAGAUUCCCUGCCAGAGCCGCCUCUUGGAGCCUAUAAAUAUAAGGGUAGGGGCUCCAUUCUAGGACACACACCACAAGUGAAUCAUUUUAUCCCUCUUAGCUUCCAAGUUAGUGGAGUUAGGCUAGAGUAGCUCUCCUUCAGGUUCUAGGUCUCCUUGGAGUCUAGAGUAUAACUCUUGUAUCUUUUAUUCCUAGGUUGACAUUAUUCUAUUCAAAGUAUACAUAUUCUUUAUAUAGUAUUGUCCUUGGUUCUUAUAUGCAUGAGUUAGAGAUAUACGCUCAUAUGUUGGUCGUAUACCUUGCUAUCAUAGUAUAGGCUUAUAUACUCUCAUGUAUGCCUUGAGACCAUGCUUCAGUACAUACUCUGUGUGGGGACCGUCCCUCAGGUGUCCCCACUUAAGCAAUACAGUGCCAUUUCCUGGACCAGAAUCCAGCACCAGCAUUAAUCGGAAUGUUUAUCAAAGUAAGAGGGGAGAAAAUAGAAGGGUUAUGAUGGUGUCAUCUUCACCUUUAAGGAGUAAGCAGGAAGCAAUCAAUGCACAAUGGAAAGAUGAAAGCUGGCUCCCUAGAAGACCUGACAAAACAAGCAAGAUUGAGUACUUUUGCCAAAAAUACUCAGCAAGUAUCUUAACGUUGAAAAGUUAAUGACAUGUAAGGUAAAUCAAGGUAAGAUUGGAGUUUUUAUACAGAAAGUUAUUUGUAUGCAAGGUGUAACACCGUUGGGGCUUUUUAAAAGGAAGUUGUUAUUAUGAUAAUGUUAUUUUAAGGGGUUAUGAAACUAUCUGGGUAAAUUUUAGUAUUCAAAAUAGAGGAUAAAAGCAUGAUCAAGGGUUGGUGUCAAGACUUGCCUUGCUUGUUGAGCGACGAAACCGAAUCGUUAAAUGGAUGGCUACCUCCGAGGAGAACUUAACUUACUAGUAAACAAAGAAAUAAACAUGCAACCAAUCACCUCAAAGUUAUCCAAAGCUCAACAGAAGGGUUUUAAGAAGGGUUGUGAAGGGGGUGGGGCUGUGGGAUAGGAUUUAGACGGCUUUCCUAAGUUUCUUGUGAUUUCCUAUAUGUCAUGUGAUUUCUCCUAUAUUUUAUGUGGGUUUCUUGAUGUGAGCGCAUGGGUUUGAGGAUGACUUGAUGGUGGUUUCUAUGCUAUGGGGUUUAAAUAUGUGCUAAGAAUUUCCUAAGCUCUUAGGAAUGAUUUGGAAGUUUGGCAUGAUUUCUAAUAUAAAGAAAAUAGGAUUUAUUAAGUGGCUUCCUAGUUUUGGGGGUUUAGGACAUAAGUUUGGGGAGGUGAACUCAUGAAUGUGUCUAGAAUAUAUUUCUAAUAUUUUUAGGAAUUUAUUUGAUAUUUGUUGAUGAUCGUUAAGUACCAAAUAUGACCAUCAAUAUACUCAUGAAUAAAGGAGGAUUGGCAUUUCUUACACGCAUAUUUGGUUUCGAAUAAUGUAGUUCCAGUUGUCCUUGGAGAAUAUUUGGUUGCAGGUGAAAUAACACAAAAGAAUGGAGAAAGCAACUAUACUCAUCAAUAUACUCAUCAAAACAUAUUUCAUAAUUUGCAUAAUAAUGAUGUUAGGUAAGAUUUUAGGAAAUUCCUAUAUGAUUGUUGUUCGAUAGAUGAGUUUGAGAGGAAAUUGGUAGAGUUCUUAGAGAUGAAUCAAGUUAUAAGUCAGGACAAUUGGUUGCAUUAAAUGUAUCAAAUGAGGAACCUAUGGUGUGCUGCAUAUUAGGAGUACAAUGUUUCUUAGGAUUGAGGAGCAACCAACGGAGCGAGAGCCUAAGCUCUAGACUUCAUAUGGACAUUGCUGUUAAAAUGUCAUUAUUUGACGUGCUACAACACUAUGAACAUUGCCUUGCAAUAUUGCGCAGAACUGAGGCGAAGUUUGACAUUGAAGUAUUGCAAUCCGUUCCAUUCAUAGAGCCAGAUGCUUCAAAUAUUGAUAACCACAUUGCCCAAGUGUUCACACCUAUGGUCUUUGACCUGGUCAAAUGGAGCAUACAUGCUGCCAGCAAAUGCAUUCUCCUUGAAUUACUAAAUGGAUGUGAUUUGAUUUUCGUACAUUGUGGUUAGGAAGAACAGUACAGAGACAAAUUUUAAGGUGCAUUGUGUAUUGAAGGAAGCCUCGCUGUUCUUGCCGUAAGCUGCAAUGCAAAGGCACACCAUGUUCGCACAUAUUCUAUGUUUUGAGAAUAUUGCGAGUAUAUUGACUUCCCAAGUGGUUGCAUGUAUAUUGACUUCCCAAGUGGUUGCAUUCCCAACAGGUGGAUGACGAGUGCAAAGUCAAGAUUUCCUCCAACUACAAAAAAAUAGCAUAUAUGAUUAGUCGAAAAGCCUGGAGAGGUACCGCGAGUUACGAAACUUGAGACAUGCAGCAUCCUUUAAGCCAUAUUGGCCUACUGAAUCAUAUGAGCGUAUGAAACAUGCUCGGCAAGGAGAAGCUAGGACCCAUCUAGUGGUAAAAAAAAAUGAAUGCAUAAGAUAUGGUCGCUACUUCCACAAAACAGCAAUUUGAUUAUAGAAAUGGGGAAAUAUUAUGGAUCUUGUGCAUGUGAAAGGCCGAGGUGGACUGAAGAAAAGACUGAAGGCAAUGAAGAAGAAAAGAUCAACAAUUAAAUGCAGUCGUUGUCAUCAGGAGGGUCACAAUUGGCGUACUUCAGGAUCACACAACAUUUUGAUUAAACCAUAUGGUGCUUCCCUCGCAAGGUCGAGGUAGUACAUUUUAUAACUCCAAUUUAAUCUAGCACACUCCAAAGUAUACACCAAGGGACACAUCUCCAGUUGGCAGGUUUCUUAAAAACAUACAUGUCCUUCCUCCGUGAUGUUUUUCGAGGUUAUAAAAAACUUCCACUUCCACCACAUGAACUCUAGUUUCCAUCACAAGAUCAUGAAUUACAACUAAUCAGCUCAAAAUUACAAAAGUAUAUGAAUAAUAAAUAUGUAGAAUUUCAAAUGUGCAUAUCAUGUGCCAUAUAAUUAAAUACCGGUUCUUCUUCCUCAGAAAAACGAUAAUGAAAAUAGGAUAGGGAGAUGAGGUGGGCCAACUAAGUUAAUUCAUAUACCACAUAUUAGAAUAUAUAUUUAACAUGUUCUCAUUCUAAAAUUUAAAGGGCCUCAUUAAAAACAAAUGAACCAUAAGUUCUUUAAGAAACUUAUUUAAAUAAGUUUUUCAACAAACUUGUUUGAAGAAUUAUGUUGGCAAACUUGUUUGAAGAAGUUUGUUUUACAAACUUGCACGAGGAAGAUUUCUAUGGAACUUUUGAAGAAAUUUUCAUGAAAAGUUAUGUUAUAAACUUUCUUAAGAAGUCGUCCUAAAACAGUCCUUCUGAUAAGUUCUCGAAAAAAUAUCUCCUAAAAGUUAUCAUGAGAAAUUGUUAUGGGAAGAUGCGGAGAACAAAAAAUAUCAAGAGAGGAAUUUGUCAUUGUUGUAGCGUUUGCCUUGUCUCCUGGGCUUGUUGUCCUAGUCAUGCUCUGUCUCGACCUGGACACCAAGCUCACCAUGUGUCUAUGGUGUCGCCAAAAUGAGCACAUCCUGUUAGCUUGUCAAUGCUCAAGUGUCAACCUUCCACGUACAUGUACGCCGUUCCCUUCCGUGCGCCAGGCAGCAUAAGUAAUGGCCCGUACGCAAGUUCUCAAGCUGGAGCUCUUCAGCUCCUUGCUAGGUCACUGGCAUGGUAUGGCUCGCGUGGGCGUGGCAAGCUGCGUUCAUCGGAACAGGAUCGACCGCGCGGCGGCAUGGAGCAGCCGUGCAACCGCAAAACUUCGGCUUGGAGUCCCUGCGACUAACGGGGGAAUAGAGAAUACGGUGGGUAUGGAGAAAGGUAAAUUUACACUUCAUUUCUACUAUAUAUGGCGUUCACUUCUUUUUCUCUCCCGUAGCUGUAGUAAGAGAGUGUGUAUAUGGCAUUCAACCGCAUCUUGGCGUGCCCAGAAUUGGAACCUGCAAGUUGGUGCUACAGCCAGAGUGCCAGUCUUUCACGACAGUCAUCCCCGGCCACCGCUACGGAUGCCCUGAGUGCGACUACGGAUGCAGAUGCGAAGGUCUGGCUGCAACUGCAACUGCGAUGCAACAUUCUCAAUCUUUCAGAGCGACAGGGCCAAAAGAAGUAAAGAACACCUCGAUGGAGCCUCAAGAUAAUGUCCACUCGGUCGAAGUUCCCAAAAGUGAACUGUACAUGGAACUCCCUCAAAUGCUGUUCUGACGAAAGAGAGUUCUCAACCCUAAGGCAGGCAAUACGCAAUUGUUGUGCUGAUCUCUCUAGCAAAGUUACCAGGCGUCUUGCUGCUGUACAGCGGGGCGCAUGGGAGCCUGGGCCCAAAUCCAGCACGGGCCAGCUCGCCGAAAACAAUGGAACAAAAAUGGCCCGUGUGAGUUCAAGAGCCACGCUCAACCUGGUGAUGGGCCGAAUGCUGAUAUGCCUUCUCCAUCCAGCGGGUUUUGUACCUUUUGUACCACGCACGACCCCAACCAAGUUAAGCAACAACACUAAGCCAACCUCCGUUACCCUGGCUCUUAGCUCAAAUGCUCAACACAGGAUGAAGCCAAGAGCUAGGAACAAACCGUGAGAGCUAUCUCUGGAUGAGUACUGGUGUAGACCCUGCUCGUUUUUUUUCCCAAAAAAAACAGAGAUAAAAACUUACGAAUUCUGCACCAGGCAAGCAGCGCUUCGCCGACGUGUCUCAACCUCCAGCACGUUGCUGCCUCUCGAACCAAGAUCACGCGUUCAAUCACCCCCUCGACACCACCUAACCACCACCCAACCAUCCGUCCCGGUGAUUAAUCAACGGCACAGCCACACCACACCUGCGCCGUCAGAGACCUGAACUCCGAUAGAUAUAUUUCACCGGCGCCAAGAAAAUAAACCCCCAUCACACGCUUGGCGCUCUGCGGCUGUGCCACCUGCAGCCCAAGCCGACCCAACGCCCCCCCUCGCCGCAGUCAGCAGCCUCACCAUUCACAUGCACAUCCAAGUAUCCAAUAGAUACAGACAUACAGUGAUCCACCACAACAGAUACAGACAUACAGAGAUCACCACAACCGCGAGUCAGCCACCCAGCGUUUCUCCUCGACGCCGCGCCUUUCGUUUUCGUUUCCGUUAAGCCCCGCCUGGCCGCGCGCGCUCCCGACAUCCCCCGUGUGGUCCAGGGCGCUGGUGUGCACACGGCGCGCGGCCGCCGGCCACACGGUGCCCCGGCGCGUUAUCCCGAGCCCUAUCCCAUCCCACCGUCCCCGCCGCCGAGCGAAGCGAGUGGCGCACUGGCGGAUGAGGCGCCGAGUGGCCCGGAUCCACCGGCCCAGGCGAGCCGCACACGUACGCCGGCGCCGCGCACCUGUCGGCACGCGGGCGCGGCGCAUCUAUUUCUCGAGAGCGCGCGUAUAAGGAGGCGGCACGGAGCAAGGGGCACUCUCACAGACGAAUGUCUACUUGCUUCGCUGGGUUGAGCAUCGUCGCAAGCCUCGGCACCCCCAAGCCGUCCUCCGCCUCCGCACGCCCCAGGCUCAUCAGGAACGCGCCCGUCUUCGCCGCCGCCACCGCCGUCGUGGUACGUACGUGCAUGCAUCGAUCAAUAAUGCAUGGGCAUGGGCUCACUACUGUACCGCACUGCACCGACCACAUUGUACAUGCAUGCAUGUCUAUCCACUUUCUCUUUUCAGUGACCAUGAGCCUGAGCUGUGUAACUAACAAGUUGGCACGUGUCCAUGUCCUUGCUAUUAUCGGCACGUCACACGGCUCUUCACGAAAUGCACUACUGCAAAAAGCAAAAGCCUCCCUUGUCCCUUCCCACAAUCUCGGAGGUUGGUAGCGUACAGACCAGGACUUUCUGAAACGAAACAGAAUCCAAGUGCCACGCGAGUGUGCAAAACGGACCACACGGUCAACUAAUGAUGCACCUUGCAUUGCCACCUUUGGUUAAUUCUUCAAGCUCAAACCACACUUUUCCUGCUACAGAAACAUACGUGUGCCAUUGCCCUCAAUAACAAUAGAUUUUUUCCUUAAAAAAUAAACGUUCGUGUCUUUUCCUAAGAGCAUGGAGGCGCCGCACUGUUCCGUUGUACCAAGAGCCAAUAACAAGGCCCAGUCUGCAAAUGCGGCACGCCAUAACCCAUAACCUCAUGUUCUACCCCUCCGUUUCUAUUUAUAAGGCAUGACAUAACUUAGCACAGUCUUCCAAAUUACACUUUGACCAUUCAUUUAUCUUAUAUCAUAUUAUUUAUGGUUAUAAACUUAUGAUCAUUGUAAAGUUUAUUUAAUUACGCAUCCAACCAUAUAAAUUUUAUAUUAUAAAAAUAAAAAAUUGGUAGUUAAAUUGCUAGUUAAAGGUUGUAAAGUUUGAAUCUAGAUAUGUGCAUGCCCCUUACACAUAAAAUUUCAUUUCAACCAAUCAUUGCAUAGUAGUAUAUACCAGGUCAUACUUUUUCUCCUGCUAAUCUAAUCAUUUCCCCGUCCACCAGUAGCAACAUCAACAUGCAUGUCAACCACUGCACCCCGCAAUAGAAUAGUCGGGAAGGGAGGGGGUUUCCAAAGAGGUGGCCAAUGAUGGUGCUAGUUUAAAGGCCACAGCUAGAUAGAUGCUUUGGAAAGAAUAUAUAUAAUUCCCCAAAAGUCUCAAGUUUCAGGGAAGAAAGAUGCAAGUACACUUGCUUAGGCGUGUAAUGGGUGGCCUUUUCCCUAAACAAAGCGAUAAGGUGGGGAGUAGGGUCGUCAGUGGACUCGUUGCAUGAUGAUAGCAACUCCACACAAAACAGUUAAACAGAAGAUGUGGAGAGCUAGCCCCCAUCCGUCUUUUGGCUUUUCAGUUCCGUUUUGAACCAUCACGCAUCAAGAAAUCCAAUAACCGACCAUCUAUCAAUUUAAGCUUUAUAGUGCGCGUCAACGUUAGCUUUUUCUCUUUAGUAACGCCCAUGAUUUCCCGCGUUGCUUUUGCUCACUGUUGAGUUUUUUGCAGACAGAGCAACGAACUACCCACCAAGAGAUUCCUUGCAACUUCACAAAAGAAAAAAAAAAUCUUCCUUUUCAUCAGUAUCUGGGAGGGGGGAAAGAACUUUGCUACGUAUUGAACCGGUGGAAAAAAAAAGGUUACAGUUCUCUGUGGUAAACUGGCAGUACUUAGUACUAGUAGUAACCAAGUUUGUUAGCGCUAGGCAGUAGGAGGAGCCCAGAUUUUCGUUGCCUUCACCUCAUCACGCUGAUGCGAGGCGCACGGCUUGACACCGAUCGCACCAUGACUCGGGUGGUGCAUGCAGUCCAAACCUGUCGUAGGCUAUAGCGGCUGCCAUUAGAUAUGCACUAGAUACACGCGAAAAGGAAAUAGUAGAAUAGCUAGCCCCAAAGGGAACCUCAUCCCUUCGAUGGUUGAGCAAGCAACCGUUGCAUGUGGAGUAUAUUUAAAAGUUCACGAUUAGUGCUAGUGGUUCCUCAUUAGUAGACCGUCAUGAUGAUCGAUGAGUAAGCACGGCAGCCUAACAUACCGGAUUAGGAGGGCGCAUCAGGGGGACAAGGUCUCGAUGAGCUGAGCUCGACUGCAAGAUCAGUCUCCAAUAAUUUAGGAGCUGGUCCGUGGUCCGGGCGGUUGGCACUGGUGAAGGGAGUAAUUUAGGCGAGCCGAUAAGGAAGAUUCGGUCCCCAAGGCCGUGCCAUUGGUGCCCCGUCGUCCGGCGAUGCGACGAGCUAAAACGACCUCUUCUCUGAGAGUGAUUACCCCAUGGGGAAGUAGAGUAGCAGCCCCGUAGGCAGGCAGAUGGCAGUCUGGCAGAUCUGGGUGAGUGGGCAUCGAGAUUCCUUGGUUGUGGGAAACAACCCCUGGGGAAACGUUUUCUCGAUCGGGGUGUGGGGGAGGCAGCAAAAAGGAAAGGUUCCCGCAGCCAGCAACCUGGCCGUGGCCGGCGCCACUUGUGCUUUCGCUCUCCGUACCCGCAGCUGUGCCUCCCAUCGCAGAGCGUCAUCUGCCCAGUAGCAUAUGGUCAACUGGUCCCUCCAGCCUUGGCCUCAGCAGAUGACGAGUGCCCGUUUACCUCUUGAGCUCCUGGCCGAACUUUUCAGUCCGAAUGACUCUUGGGGUUGCCUGACCUUUUUCGUACACCAAUAAACAUUUUUUCUUCUAGAGCACCUGAUUUCAUCGGCUCAACUCAAAAGCAGAGUUGAGCACACGCGUCCGCGUCACAUACAGAUCACGGGCGCCUAAGAAUUAAUUCAACGACAAAAAGGGGAUAAGGCUGUUGCCGUUCCGUCCACAGAAGCCGCACUCACUCCCCCAUUACCAUUACUACUGCUGAUUUUUCUCCUGCACGCUCUCGCUCACGCUAUUAUUGCACGUGUCAUGUUGCUAGUAAGCCGACGAACGAGAAGCUCAUCAAAAAGUCAGACGAGAGAGAGGCGAGGAGUAGUAGCAUCCAAGCCGGCCGGCCAUAGGAAGAGGAGAAGAUGAGCGGGUGCCUUUGCCUCCCUAAAAAGAAGGAGGGGGUCUCCGCAGCGAAGCAGUCCAUAAAUUCCCCCGCCUCGUCACUCCUCCAGAACCAGAAGCCCACCCAACCUCCACCUCCUCCUUCCAAGAAGGUCCGUUCCCCUCCUCCCUUCUCCGUCCUUCCUCCUGCAGUAAUCCCCAUCCAUCCGUCACUCUUCUUUUUCCUCUCUUGCCCCCAUCGCUCAGUAGCACAGCGGCUGCAGCUGCCCUUUUCUUCACCCCCUUUGUGCUGCUGCAAAGCAGAUCCCUGCAUGGCUGCAUCCCUAUCCCCAUUUUAGAUCACCUUUGCGCAUGCUCCCUUGUGGUCUGUGCGCAAGGAGGCCAGAAAAUUUCUUCUUGUCCCUGUCCCUCUCCCUCUCUCCCUCUCUCUCUCUCUCUCUCGAACUGCAUCACCAGCAUACAGGGUAGUGCCUUGGUGGGGAUGGCUAACUGACGAUUUGUGUCUGAUCUUUGGUUGCAGGGCAUGGACGCCGUCGAGCGCUUGAAGAGCGGGUUUGACAAGUUCAAGACCGAUGUCUAUGAGUAAGUCACCAUCAAUUGCCCCGCGUUCGAUUUCAGUUUCAUGGCGCUUGAUUUGCUUCGAGAAUUUUGGGACCUCCCACUGACGACCCUGCUUUGCCCCCCGUGGAAUUUCCUCCUCGCAGCAAGAAGCCGGAGCUGUUCGAGCCGCUCAAGGAGGGCCAGGCACCCAGGGUAUGUGCUUCCUUCUCCGCCCUAUCUCAUCACCCUUGUAGACUGCUAAGAUUUUUGUCUGGAGCGGCUCCGGCCGGCUGGAAUCCUCGUCAGAAAUCAUGGAAAGCUUAAUUUAGCCAAACCGCGUUCAGUAACUUGGGUUCCCGUGGGGUCCGGGCAACGCCUGGUUGGCUGGCCCACAGAUUUGGUAGUACCUAGUACGUCCUGGUUGCCCAGGCGUCCAGUUAGAAGCAAGCUCUGAACAGUGUCGCUGGUACUAGCUCACCAUCAGGAUCCCUGCAUUACAUUCUCGUUUGCAUCUCCCAGGCAACCCUGCUGCCAUCCGUUACUGUUUCAUUUGCCGAGGUCAGAGUCGUGGUAGACAAGCGGAAACGGCUUGUCCUAAUUGCAUGACUUAACACUGACGGGGACAGCUUGUCUCCAUUAGCGGCCAGUGGCCCGUGAUCAGGUUGGAGAAACUGAAACUGUUCUUGUUGGACGAGCCUGCUCCACGGGGCACAGCCUUUUCAACUGUGCAGAGAGAGAUUGUAGUGGAUAGCAACCACCCAGGCACUAAAACAUGCGCACGGCGAGUGCAUCCCCAUGUGCAGGCCAUGUUGGUGAUUUGGGCGUUGGCCUUGUAAAUUAUUGAGAGAGAUGUCGCCGUCCCUGUAUAGGCUCACUUUCUGGACUGGUGGUGGGUGAUGAUGGAUAUAGUAUAGUCUUAUUUCCUUCUCGUUCCUAGUAUAAACCUGCUGCCAGAAUCUCGCAAGUACAGAGUUUUAUUGUUUUCUUUAUGGGGGUUCUUGGCUGGCAUCGAUCCCAUGCGCCUAAUUACUCCAUGCAUGCUGUAGUUAGCUGGUUCCAGGCCCAAGUAGUCUAGUAAUUUUAUUUGCAAAAAAAAGUGGUUGGCGUCUUAAUCGGUCUGUGGGAAACUAAGAACUAGCAACUAGCCGUGUUGAAUUCAAAGUUCAGACUAGUUGAAUUUUGUCAAGGUCUCCUGCAUCGUUUUUUUUUUUUUUUUGGGGGGGGGGGGGGGGGGGGGGGGGGGGGGGGGAGUAUAGUGCUCUAGUCCAUCAUUACACUAUAUGGUGGUGGUGAGUAGGCAUUUCAGAUGUCUCAUCGUUUUGAAAGUUCUUUUUGACGCUGCACAAAUCAUACACUAAAAAGUGACGUGAGCUCCAAGUUUCCAUGGCUAUGAAUAGAAUGGAAAUGCAAGGUGAGCCAUGCCCACAUAGACAGGUGAUAGGUCCAGGAUCCCAUCAUUCCAUGGCUAAACGUGUGGUCCAGCCAUGAUUGAGCACAGGCCCUACCUGGCAGCUAGCAACCUGUCCUGUGGCUGUGGCGCACUGGUUCCUCACCUCAUAGAAUUCGUUCUUCAUCAGCAUGUAGAAGAGUAGUUGGUUUGAGCGUGUCCUCUAUUCCCAGCCAUUGCGAAAAGUUAGGGGCAUAAACAUUGGCCAGUGCAUGUUGCUUUAGCCUUCAGAACAUUUGUGUAUUCGCAUCCAUAUCUCACUGGCCAUGCUGAUCCUUGAAAUAUAUGCUAUACUAGACACGUCUCAAAGUGUAUAAAGAGCAGAAGAUGAUUGCAUCACGCCAUGCCCCUUGCCCCCUUUCCAAACCCUGGCCUCCCAAGUGUGAGCUAAUCCAAAUAGGAACGAGGUUCCUUUUCCUAAUCAUCCAUGGACAUCGUGUCCGUCCAUCCAUUGUGGCUGCUCUUGUCACCAAGCUCAAUCUGCAGUGUGGAUUUGGCAGUUUUGAUCCGGCCUUUUGCAUGCAAAUUGUUCUCGGUUCAUGCAUGCAGGCUCGCCUUUUGCGUGUCAACUUGCCCGGAAAUAUUCUUGCUUUACGCUUGCGGCUUCCUCGCCGGGAAUGGGAUCACGUUUUGUUUCUGGCCCGUUGAUCGCCCCGGGAGCCACAUGAAAGUCGGCGUAGAAUAUCCUCGUUUCGAGUAGUAGCAGGGAACCUUCCUGCUUGGCUUUUGUCCAUCCUGCCCCCCUGGUAAAAAGUGGCUCGGAACAGAGACAACCAGGAAAUUUUUCAAAAACAGAGACAGCCAGGUCAAAAGCGGUAGCCUUUUUCGAGCGCAGUGGUACCAGCAUGCAAUCCAGCAGAGCCACCAGAAUCGUGUACUCCACCGAUCAGCGCCGAUCUGCCUACCUGCUUAUCGAUAAGAGCCGUGGGGGGCGUGAGAUGUCCAUUAGCGAUAAGACUGAUUAAGCGUGCUCUUUUCGUUAACCUGAUGCUUGAUUUUUCUUCUCUUUUGUUAAUGAUGCUGAUUUCCCCCUUUUGUCAACGCUAUGCUGCAGUACAUGGUGUUUGCCUGCUCCGACUCCCGUUGCUGCCCGUCGGUGACCCUGGGCCUGCAGCCCGGCGAGGCCUUCACCGUCCGCAACAUCGCCGCCAUGGUCCCACCUUACGACAAGGUAAACACUGUCUGACUGACUGACGCAUGGACAUCUGUGUUUUUUCUUUUGUUUGGCCGGCCAUGACCACUGGUGUGUCUUUGCCUGUCGACUGCUGCGUGCGCAGACCAAGUACACCGGCAUUGGGUCCGCCAUCGAGUACGCCGUCUGCGCCCUCAAGGUGGAGGUCCUCACCGUCAUCGGCCACAGCCGCUGCGGUGGCAUCAAGGCGCUCCUCUCCAUGAAGGACGGCGCACCUGACAACUUGUAAGUAACGGUGGAAUUAAGUUACAGCUUUGGAUCGAGGAACCUAUCCUGCAGCUUGGUGUUUCUGACUCGAGUACUAUCUCUUUAAUCAGCCACUUCGUCGAGGACUGGGUCAGGAUCGGCUUCCUCGCCAAGAAGAAGGUGCUGACCAACCAUGCCUCGGUUCCGUUCGAUGACCAGUGCACCCUCUUGGAGAAGGUAUGUUUGAGCUACUCAAUUACCAUGGCGAUCUUACUUUCCCAUACAGUAGCAGUGUUUGCAGUGCCAAUUGCAUCUACACGUGUGUACUGCCUGGUCUGCAUGAAUAUCGAAUUGGUUUGCUCAUGAAAGGAUCCUGCAUUUCUGAAUAUUUUUGCAGGAGGCCGUCAACGUGUCCCUCUACAACCUCCUGACCUACCCCUGGGUGAAGGAAGGUGUGGCCAACGGGACACUCAAGCUGGUCGGCGGCCACUACGACUUCGUCAACGGGGUGUUCUCCGUGUGGGAGAAAUAAGCCACCCGGUUUAUUCAUCAUACAUACAUACCGAAAUAAUGCAUCCAAUCGAUGUGAAUGCAUGAGUACUUACUACCUAUUUUCGGCCGCUACAUAUAUAUCAGAUCGGCCGAUGUGAAUGUAAUAAGAUAUAGCAUUUUCUACCGCUUUACGACUUCUAUGUACUAUAUGAUGCGUAAUUUGGCCGCCUUGUGGUCAAAAGACAUCAGCUAUGUAUAAGCCGUUUUACUACCAUGGCUAUGUAUAAUUUCAUAAUAUUUUCGUCAAGAGUUUACCUUUUA